CGAACGCUGGCGGCGUGCCUAAUACAUGCAAGUCGAGCGAAGUUUUUCUGGUGCUUGCACCGGAAAAACUUAGCGGCGAACGGGUGAGUAACACGUAAAGAACCUGCCUCAUAGACUGGGACAACUAUUGGAAACGAUAGCUAAUACCGGAUAAUAGCAUUAACUGCAUGGUUGAUGUUUAAAAGUUGGUUUUGCUAACACUAUGAGAUGGCUUUGCGGUGCAUUAGCUAGUUGGUGGGGUAAAGGCCUACCAAGGCGACGAUGCAUAGCCGACCUGAGAGGGUGAUCGGCCACACUGGGACUGAGACACGGCCCAGACUCCUACGGGAGGCAGCAGUAGGGAAUCUUCCGCAAAGGGCGAAAGCCUGACGGAGCAACGCCGCGUGAGUGAAGAAGGAUUUCGGUUCGUAAAGCUCUGUUGUUAGGGAAGAAUGAUUGUGUAGUAACUAUACACAGUAGAGACGGUACCUAACCAGAAAGCCACGGCUAACUACGUG
rnacentral:rRNA from 1 species